UGCAGCGGAGGGCGCGGUCGAAAGAUCGUGGCCCCGCACACUGCUCAGUAACACGUAGUUAACCUACCCUUGGGACGGGGACAACCUCGGGAAACUGAGGCUAAUCCCCGAUAGGUGAGGGACGCUGGAAUGCCUCCUCGCCCAAAGCUCCGGCGCCCAAGGAUGGGACUGCGGUCUAUCAGGCUGUUGGUGGUGUAACGGACCACCAAACCUACGACGGGUACGGGCGAUGGGAGUCGGAGCCCGGAGAUGGGGACUGAGACAAGGCCCCAGGCCCUACGGGGCGCAGCAGGCGCGAAAACUCCGCAAUGCGCGCAAGCGUGACGGGGGAAUCCCAAGUGCCGUUGGUCUUAUGAUCGACGGUUUUUAGGAAGUCUAAGAAGCUUCCAGAAUAAGGGCUGGGCAAGACUGGUGCCAGCCGCCGCGGUAACACCAGCAGCCCAAGUGGUGACCACGAUUAUUGGGCCUAAAGCGCUCGUAGCCGGAUCAGCAAGUCCCUUGUGAAAUCGGGCCGCCUAACGGUUCGGCGUGCAAGGGAUACUGUUGGUCUUGAGGCCGGGAGAGGUCGGAGGUACUCCUGGGGUAGCGGUGAAAUGCUCUAAUCCUAGGGGGACCACCAGUGGCGAAGGCGUCCGACCAGAACGGACCUGACGGUGAGGGGCGAAGGCUAGGGGAGCGAACGGGAUUAGAUACCCCGGUAGUCCUAGCUGUAAAGCAUGCGGGCCAGGUGUCUAGCGC
rnacentral:rRNA from 1 species